AGUCAUCCCUUGCUCCAUGUGAGGGCACAAGGUUAUUCCCAGGUCAAUCCACUGAAGAUUCCAAAGGGAACAGGAGGGUGACAAAUCCAAAGCUGAACCUCCAAUGAAAACCACACAGCAUUCAUCUUCCAAACCUCUGAUCUUGCUCUCCAAGAAGGACAGUAACACUCGUGGAGCUGUUAAAAGGAGAUCUGACCUUUCCCAUCCUCCCCAUUGAUAUCCUGCUCUCCACCAGAUCUCUCUUGAAGCUUUGUUUGGGGUUGGUGCUUUGAUCCCUCUCUGGUGCAUGGCUUUCCUUGAUGCCAGAAGAUGCUGAAACCUCCUUCCAGGCUAUAACAGCUGCCUGAACCCUUCCAGCCCUCACUGCCAGGGCUUGGGGCUGCAGGAGGAAAGUGCAUCCUGCUGUGGCUCUGGUGCUGACAAAGCUGGAACUGGGCAGUUUGUAGCAUGGCUGUUCCCAUGGGAUCUCUCUCCUUUGGUAGCUCUUCCAUAAAACAGCUUUACAGCUGGCCCACGACGCCCCUGUCCCACCACAGGCCCUGCAGUGUCCUGUCAGCAGCAGAUGGAUCAGGUUCAAUGAGCAGAUGGAUCUGAUUAAAUGGGUGAUCUAUUGCUUUCUGCUGAGCAGGCAAUUCUUCUGCUGGGUAAUUUACCCCUGGAGUGUGACUUGAUCCCUGGAGCUGUGUUGUUCUCCAGGCUCUACAUUUUUGUUUGGCCAUGGAGUCAUUCAGCAUUACUGAACUGGUCCUGGUGAAGCACGAGCAAGAACUCAUCUCUGGUACCUUUGUGUCCCAAACUCAACUGAAAAUGCUGGGUUUGCCCAGUCUCUGCUCAUUUCAGAUGGGAAGCUCUGGGUUAGCCUGGGGAUCACCCAGCAGGUUGCUUGGGAGCUCCUUGGUUCCUCUGCUCUCAGCUCCCAGGGCUAUGGAAACACCUGCCCAGGGCUCUGACUUCAUGGCUGGUUUUGCUGACAAAAAGAAGCUGGUUCCAGAGGCUCCUGCAGCUGCCACCUUGGCAUUGACCUCUGUGCUCUCCACCACUGCUUGGCUCCAAUCCAACCUCCUCUUCACCAAAAUACUGCAGGGAACAGGGAGGUGCUCAGAGAGGGAAGAACAGAACUUGGCAGAGGAGAGUGAAUCCAGAGAUUUCUCUGGAGAGGCUCCAGGCUUGUGAGCCCCAGGAAUCCCCCUGAGGGAGGGCAGCCACCAGGGCUGCUGUCACCUGCUCUUGAGCAGGCGGCCCUUUUAAACCUUGCUGGGGAACACUGCUUGAGACCUGCUAAUGGAAAAACUCCCACCCAGGCACGGGAUUCUGGAGCUGGGACCCGGAGCUGGAUUCCUCUGACAGGUACCAUUGGAUGCUAAUGGCUGAAUUAGCAUUUCACUCUGCAGCAAAGUCGGAGCUAUCUCUACAGGAACAGCUGCUAAACUAUUUGCAAAGUUCAAAGAGGAUGUAUUAAUUUUUUUUUUUCCUUGAGUCACAUUCUUCAGAUUCCCUGUAAGCUCCUUAGGAAGGGCCACGCCAGCUGUUGAAGAAUGAAGAUUACAACGUCCUGCAAACGCAGCGCUGGGAUAUUUAAAUUUUAUCCACUGAAGCUGUUUCCACCCACAUGAGAAUUCUGCUUUGAAAUGCCCUAAUCUGAAGUGAAAUCUGCCAAUGGAUGAAAAACUACAGGAUUGAUGGGAAUCCAUUUUCCUGGAUUUCCAUGAGAGGGAAAGAUUUUUGCUCAGUGCUAUAAUUUUCCUAGUUUUCCAGCCCGUGCACUGUUUGCUGCUCUGGUUAUACAUUCAAACCCUGUCACAACAGUCUGUUUGGGAGGGACAAGGUUACAAUACCAGUGCCUUCAGGAGAAGGUUUUCCAUGGAAGGCUUUAAUCAAAGUCCCCAGGGAGCCCAGCAAUUUACCUGCAGGCUGUAAUUGCAGUUUGCCCUCAGUAAAUAACAGCCACAGAUCCCUGGAACAUGGCACAUGUUGUGUGGCUUUACUGGUACACUUGGAGUGAGAUGGACAACAACCAAAGUGUGUCCAAACCCCCAGGAAUUCCUGGGAUUUGUUGGUGCCACACUCAGCAGCAGUUGUGUUGGCUGUAGAGACCAUUUGGGACACUGCUGACUACUGAAAACACCACCUUGGUGAGCUAAAAGGCAGAAGAUUCUUUGAAUUCCUGUUUGUUUUCAUUAGCAAGCCAUGUCCAAUGAGCUCCGUUAAAUCCCACCAUGAGUUAUUUUCCUUCACUGUUUCAGUCUCCUCUACCCACCACCAGAAAUCCAAUUUAGCUCCAAGCAUUUGCAGACUCUUAGCCCUGAAGCUGCUUUGCUCACUGUAAUCAUCACCCCAGGAAAUCCUGUGGCCUGAUGGAACUGGUAAAAUGUGGGGGCAGGAGAACAGCUCUGACCUCCAAACCUGCUGAGUGCCAGCCUGCCAUGGUGGACCCCACCCUAGCUGGGAACAGUGCCCUCAUCCUUGGGAAAGUCUCCACUAUAAAUGCCAAAACAAGAGCAGCAGUCUGUGGUUUUAUUUAGCACAAUUUACCCCCCUCUGAAAAGCACCAAACGCGGCGCGACCGCGUGUACCUUGUAA